rnacentral:rRNA from 1 species
CCUACGGGUGGCAGCAGUGGGGAAUAUUGCGCAAUGGGCGCAAGCCUGACGCAGCAACGCCGCGUGAAGGAAGAAGGCUUUCGGGUUGUAAACUUCUUUUCUCAGGGACGAAGCAAGUGACGGUACCUGAGGAAUAAGCCACGGCUAACUACGUGCCAGCAGCCGCGGUAAUACGUAGGUGGUAAGCGUUGUGCGGCGUUACUGGGUGUAAUGGGCGCGUAGGCGGGACUGCAAGUCAUCUGUGAAAACCACGGGCUCAACCUGUGGCCUGCAUAUGAAACUGUAGUACUUGAGUACUGGAGAGGGAGACGGAAUUCCUGGUGUAGCAGUGAAAUGCGUAGAUAUUAGGAGGAACACCAGUGGCGAAGGCGGUUUGCUGGACAGCAACUGACGCUGAGGCGCGAAAGCGAGGGGAGCAAACAGGAUUAGAUACCCGAGUAGUC